rnacentral:rRNA from 1 species
GACGGGGGCUGCAAGCGUUAUACGGAAUCACUGGGCGUAAAGCGUCUGUAGGUGGUGAUGCAAGUCACUGGUGCAAAACUCUGGCUCAACCGGAGGAAAUCCAGUGAAACUGCAUGACUAGAGUGUGGGAGAGGUAGAAGGAAUUCCCUGAGUAGCGGUGAAAUGCGUAGAUACAGGGAAGAACACCGGAGGCGAAAGCGUUCUACUGGAACACAACUGACACUGAGAGACGAAAGCUAGGGGAGCGAAUGGG